rnacentral:SRP_RNA from 1 species
GGGUCUUACGCAAUAAGUACUUAUGAACCGUGUCAGGUCCGGAAGGAAGCAGCACUAAGUAAGAUCACUUAUGUGCCGUGAGGUUGCCUAGU